AACGAACGCUGGCGGCAGGCCUAACACAUGCAAGUCGAGCGAGACCUUCGGGUCUAGCGGCGGACGGGUGAGUAACGCGUGGGAACGUGCCCUUUUCUGCGGAAUAGCCUCGGGAAACUGAGCGUAAUACCGCAUACGCCCUUUGGGGGAAAGAUUUAUCGGAAAAGGAUCGGCCCGCGUUGGAUUAGGUAGUUGGUGGGAUAAUGGCCUACCAAGCCUACGAUCCAUAGCUGGUUUGAGAGGAUGAUCAGCCACACUGGGACUGAGACACGGCCCAGACUCCUACGGGAGGCAGCAGUGGGGAAUCUUAGACAAUGGGGGCAACCCUGAUCUAGCCAUGCCGCGUGAGUGAUGAAGGCCUUAGGGUUGUAAAGCUCUUUCAGCUGGGAAGAUAAUGACGGUACCAGCAGAAGAAGCCCCGGCUAACUCCGUG
rnacentral:rRNA from 1 species